rnacentral:rRNA from 1 species
AGGACGAACGCUGGCGGCGUGCCUAACACAUGCAAGUCGAACGAGGUCCAACCGGUGGCAACACUGGUGAAGACCGAGUGGCGAACGGGUGAGUAACACGUGAGCAACCUGCCUCGAAGACUGGGAUAACCCCGGGAAACCGGAGCUAAUACCGGAUACCCCCACCGGGUCGCAUGGCCUGGUGAGGAAAUGGAUUCCGCUUUGAGAGGGGCUCGCGGCCUAUCAGCUUGAUGGUGGGGUAAUGGCCUACCAUGGCACCGACGGGUAGCUGGUCUGAGAGGACGAUCAGCCACACUGGGACUGAGACACGGCCCAGACUCCUACGGGAGGCAGCAGUGGGGAAUCUUGCGCAAUGGGCGAAAGCCUGACGCAGCAACGCCGCGUGUGGGACGAAGGCCUUCUGGGUUGUAAACCACUUUUCAGCAGGGACGAUUGUGACGGUACCUGCAGAAGAAGCCCCGGCCAACUACGUGCCAGCAGCCGC